CUUGGUUGUUGUGUCGUUCCAAGAGCGGUGGCUGCUCAUUAUUUUGGACAUGUUCCUGCUGUGUCAAACUGAGUUCAGACUGAAUGUUUAACAACAGUUGGCUUCGACCCUACUGUCCGGGACUGAGGGCACCGUCGUCAGAUUCAUUGGUCAGAUUUCUGGUAAGGAGUGGAUUUUUGGACAGUUCAGCAUCCAGCAGAACACCCAUCGAAGGAUUCGUCCAUCAGGAGACCAAGAUUCCAGUUAACUGGGUGGCGAGCCAACCCGUGGAAAAAUUGAGAGACCAAGAGGAGGAGGAUCGCUUCUGCAGAAGAAUUACUGCGCUCAUGGUGGAAGCUGAAUUAGUGAGGAUGACUCCUGCUCCUGUCAUCUCUAAGCUCCUCACACAUCUUUACCUGCACAUGAGGAAAAUCACUCCUGUAGAAUGCAGGUGACCAGUCUGACAGAUCUGUCAGAAUCUGUCAGACUGGCCACGCCCCCCGCCGUCUGGUGGUCUCUGGAGGAUGGAAUCCCAGGUGUGCGAGAGGGUGUAGGCCACCUCGUCCCGGUUCAUGGAGCAGCUCACCCGGGCGAGGUCAGAUGACGUCCCAUGAACCGGGACCACUGACCUCAUGUUUAUUAGC
ensembl:lncRNA